AUUCCCAGGCUGAAAUUCCAACCAACUGACAUUACUAUCUUCCACCAGCAGAGGGAGCCACCCUGGCCCUGCAUCCCAGUGCUCUUCUGGCAUUCCAGAUAUUCUCAGUUUCCAUCGCACGCCACUUCCCUCAGCCUGUAGAACUUCCGGCAGCAACUGCAAUUAGGGGUAGUCCAGUGCUAAAUUGUCGCAGCCUUGAAAAUAUUCUGCUUCGUUAUUUCGGGCACUCCACAGAUUCUGUUGCGAAGGCAGCCAUCUUUAGUUCGUCUUUCCUAGAGAGUAGUGUGUGAGCUGCAAAGUUGCUUUACAUCUUUGCCAGCAGCUGAUAAGGGUGGGCCAUAAACCCAAUUUGUGUCCCUUGGGCUGGUGAUUCUGCUGGAAAUCCUGAUCAGCUGCUUAGCUUUUCAGCCGCAACUUUGUUCGUUGAGAAGAUUCUGCUCCAUUUUUUCUGAUUAUGGAUUCUGUUCAGAAGGAAGCCGAAUUUUAAGUCAUCGUUCUAGGAUAGAUUCAGCUCCAUUUUCUCUGGUGGUAGAUCUCCAUGGAUGCUAUUGAGAAGGUACUUCUCAAAGUCCACGAGGACAAGGACAUCUUUCCACCGAAUGCCACCUGGUUUAUAACAAAAGCAUGAAAAACAAACAGGAAUUUCUCAAUGCAGAAAGGACUGAAGCUGUCAAAGGUGUGCUUUUUUUCUGCACAAACAAGUUUCCAUUGAAUGAUAGAAUAAAGAGAUACUGACUUCCCCGGAGCCUCCAAACUUGAGUAGUCAGGCAUUGGGAUCCGUGGAAGGCUUGUUAAAUCCAAAUAGAUUGGUCCUACUCCAUCCGCAGAGUUGCUGACGAGGUGCGUCCAGGCCUUCUCCUCACCUCUCAGGGAGAUAUACCAUGCAGUGCCUUCAGUUAUGGUGUUGUGACUGAGGAUGCUUCGGUCAGACAUGUCCCUGAAAACCUGCAUAGAGGAAUCUCUUGCCCCAAGUUUCAUUCCAAGUAUUUAAAUUGGAAUUGAGCAUCCUGUCAUGCCAGGGAUGAGAAUGCCUGGGUUACAUCAGUUAGCCCUCUCCUCUUGAGGAAUGGCAUAUUACCCAUUUUAGCUGCACUUCAAGGGAAGUUAUUGAAUAUGUCCUAUCCAACUAAAACAAGGAAAUGAUGAAAAAAAUAAAAUCACUUUCCAGAGGCCUCAGGGCUAACUGGAGACAGAGCUCAGACUGCAACUGAGAAAAGUUGGACUCCAAAACCUGUACUCUGAGCUUUACUGCAUGAGAAAGUUAUUGAAAUGUGCCUUGUGACAUUCAGAAUAAGUGACUUUUCAGAGGUCUCAGAGUCAGUAAGAGACAGAACUCAGAUUGUAACCAAGAAGAGCUGAACUCCAAACUUCUGUGUCCGGAAUUGGUGGGUUCUUGGUCUCACUGACUUCAAGAAUGAAGCGGCAGACCCUCGCGG
rnacentral:lncRNA from 10 species